GAUUUUUCGUUUAUAACCGUCGAAAAAUUUUGUUUCAUUUUGACAAAAACAAAAUAUAUCAUACAUAAUUAAAAAAAAAAUUAAAUCGGAGAAGGCGGGAGACUAAAAAUUUGGAGAGCUGCCAAAAUUUUGGCAUGGCUUCUCUCUCACAGUUUCUCUACCUCUCCUAUUCAGAAACAAAACCCUAGCCUCCAUCCUUCAUUUGUUCUCAAAAUCUCAGAGCCACAUUCAUCAAAACCAACACCAUCUCUCCAUUUCUCUCUAUUUCUGCCUUCAUCCAAAAAAAUUUCACACACCUCCACUUCUGCAAACCCGAGUCCAGUUCCACCUUUUCGACUCUCAGUGCAUAAAUCCUCGGUUCUACGACACCCACAAGGGACUUCGAUCAGAGAUGAGGGCCGAGAAAAAUGAUGAACUGAGCAUUUCGACCUCUGAAAUCCCCAAUGGAGGGGGCUUUUCUGCAUUUCGAUCUCCAAAACUUUGGUGUCCUUCCAGUUUUUGCAGAAUAUGUACAUGUUAUCAAGGGAAAGGAGAUUCAUGGGUUGCUGUAAGACGUGGGCUUGAUGCACAUGUAUGCAUUGGGAGUAGCUUAAUUGACAUGUAUGCCAAUUGCACUCGAGUGCAAGAUUCCCUGCGGGUGUUCAACCUGCUACCUAAGCAUGAUGCCAUUUCAUGGAACUCGAUCAUUGCAGGAUGUGUGCAGAAUAAACGUUUUAGCUCUAGUUGAACUGUGGAUUCAGUUUAGGAGUUGUGGCAUCUGUGCGUGGGUUACCUAUUGCAUUAUGCCUUACUACAUUGUAAAUUUGUAAUCAACAUAUUGGUUUUUCCUUUUCUUUGUCUUUGUCUUUGUCUUUGUGUUACCUAUUUCUUUCUCCACUGGUACAGGUUAGAGUCUACAGGAAGAAAGAAAGCAACUGAUCAUGUACCUGCAGUUAAGAAGCGUAAGAAAUCAGAGAGGCUUGGGGAAGGCCAGGUAUACAUUCAUCCGUUCAAACAUGUUCCUCAAUCGAAAUGAAUUUUUCUUCACUGACCUUAGUGUAUCGUUCUAUGUAGUUUGUGCAUGUGAAAGCAGAGAGAAGUCUACUUGUAGAGGUUGACAGUAAUUCUAUCCUCAAGCUCUGUUGCUGCCUCCAGGAUGAAAAGUCGUCCUAUUUGUUUACGGUUUAGGGUUUAGGUAGAGGGUACCAUCUCCCAUUGAUCCACAAAACUACAAUUCCAGUCUCCAAAUCCAAUAAAUAAACAAUUGUUAAGGUCAAAUCAGUCACCAACUAUUUAUCUGUUCAUUGGAAGCUGGAAGCCACACUUGAAUACAAUUCUGUGAGUGAGUGAGACGCACAUUACUCACUCACCCGAAACUUUCAAGGAAAUAUUGAUUUCACUUUCUAAUUGUAAUUAUUUUUAAAGUUCUUCUCUUUACUGGUUUUCAGGUUUUACUUGUAGAAUAAUAAAUGACAAGGAGCUUGAGGUACCUCAAAACAUUUUUUCAUUUCUAGUGUGCAUAUUUUUUAACAUGCCUUUGCAUUUGUUUAUUACUAGUGUUCUCAUUGUGACAGAACUACUCAUUGUUAAAGUCUCUCUACUACUGUCUCCUUUAAAUUUAAUAACUUGUUGAUUUGGGCAGUUACUUGUGCAUUUGCCUUGAAGGAUUUAUUUCAGCAGACCUGAUUGGCUUAGCUCUGUUGUGAGAUAUGAGGAGUGACGAAGGAGCUACAUAAACUGUAGCGAGCUGCAUGAAGUAGUGAGAUACAUGAAGGAGCUAUAUGAAGGAGUGAUGAAAAAGCUAUAUGGAGUGAUGAAGGAGCUACAUACACUGUAUGUACAAAAGGGAAGAUGCUUUUAUCUGCACGUCUUCGAAAGAAUUCAAGUUUGUAUUUUCGGAGUUUGAGGACUUGUGUUAAUAUGUUCAAACUUAUAUCUUAGGUUUUUAAUGAAUGUAUUGGCUUUA